rnacentral:rRNA from 1 species
GUGAACGCUGGCGGCAGGCCUAACACCUGCCAGUCGAACGGCAGCACAAGAGAGCUUGCUCUCUGGGUGGCGAGUGGCGGACGGGUGAGGAAUGCAUCGGAAUCUGCCCAUUUGUGGGGGAUAACCUCGGGAAACCGGGACUAAUACCGCAUACGACCUACGGGUGAAAGCAGGGGAUCUUCGGACCUUGCGCAGAUGGAUGAGCCGAUGCCGGAUUAGCUAGUUGGAGGGGUAAAGGCCCACCAAGGCGACGAUCCGUAGCUGGUCUGAGAGGAUGAUCAGCCACACUGGGACUGAGACACGGCCCAGACUCCUACGGGAGGCAGCAGUGGGGAAUAUUGGACAAUGGGCGCAAGCCUGAUCCAGCCAUGCCGCGUGUGUGAAGAAGGCCUUCGGGUUGUAAAGCACUUUUGUUGGGAAAGAAAAGCAGCCGGUUAAUACCCGGUUGUCAUGACGGUACCCAAAGAAUAAGCACCGGCUAACUUCGUG